rnacentral:rRNA from 1 species
CUAAGAAUAUUCCGCAAUGGACGAAAGUCUGACGGAGCGACGCCGCGUGGAUGACGAAGGCCGAAAGGUUGUAAAAUCCUUUUGUUGCUGAAGAAUAAGCGUGGCAGGGAAUGGCCGCGCGAUGACGUUAGGCAAUGAAUAAGCCCCGGCUAAUUACGUGCCAGCAGCCGCGGUAACACGUAAGGGGCGAGCGUUGUUCGGAAUUAUUGGGCGUAAAGGGCGCGUAGGCGGUUAUGUAAGUCUGGCGUGAAAGGCAGGAGCUUAACUCCUGGACUGCGUUAGAAACUGUGUAACUGGAGUCAUGGAGGGGGAGUUGGAAUUCCUGGUGUAGGGGUGAAAUCUGUAGAUAUCAGGAAGAACACCGGUGGCGAAGGCGAACUUCCAGCCGAUGACUGACGCUGAGGCGCGAAAGUGCGGGGAGCAAACAGGAUUAGAUACCCUGGUAGUCCGCACUAUAAACGAUGUGCACUAGGUGUUGGGCCGAGCGGUUCAGUGCCGAAGCGAACGUGGUAAGUGCACCGCCU